rnacentral:tRNA from 1 species
GGCAAGUUGGCCGAGUGGUUAUGGCGGAGCACUCAAGUUUAAAACUUACACUAUCAAAUAGUGGUGUAUUGCUCUGGGGCAACCCGCACGCGUUCGAAUCGCGUACUUGUCA